rnacentral:tRNA from 1 species
GCGAGGUAGCUCAGUCGGUCAGAGCGAUGGAUUCAUAACCCAUAGGUCGAGAGUUCAAGUCUCUCUCUCGCC